UCUAUGCUACCUACUUUUUUUUAUUAAUAAAUUGUAUUUGCUUAUAAAAGGUAAAUAAGUAUUCUGUGGCCAACAUCCCCACUGUUCUUUGCUUGACAUGCAAUAUGGAUAUAAGCAUUGAUGAAGAAUCGAAUGUAAAACAACAGCGUUUUCAUGUUCCAAAAUAUUAUACUGGCAAGAAAUGAGAAAAUGGUACAAAGCAAUUAAAAGAAAUGUUUCCUAAUGUGGAAGAAAAACAGCUCCUUGAAACUCUUAGAACGAAUAAUUAUUCCUAUGAAGAUGCAAUUUCCAAACUUCUGGGCUCAAAUGAUGAAGAUACAUUGUCAACAGCAUCAGAUGACACAACAAUUGAUCAUGACUUGUUUAAUUACACAAAAAAAGUUGAUGAAGAAAACAUGAAAAUCCUGUUUCUUGACCUAGAGUAUAUUUGGCAACGAUCGUUUGUUUUUACAAGACCAUCUCUGAUGAAGACUUAUUUCGUCUUUUAAGCAUAUCUUUUGAAGGGUAUGAAGAUGCUAUAGAUGCUGGUGGUAUAAGGAUUGAGUUCUUUAGUGACUUAAUCAGAACCAUAGAUAACUUGCUAUUUGAAGGAAAACCUAGAAACCGCAUUCCCAUACACAGCCGGGACAAGAUAUACUUGCUACAAAUGGCAGGGCUCGUGAUUGGACAUUCAAUCCUGCAAGAAGGCCCGGAUAUGCCAACUCUAGCCUAAUAUGUAUACAAGUUCAUUGUUAGUGGUGACAAAGAAAAGUCAUUGGCAGCGAUAACAUCUAAAGAUCUUCCU